UGUUUUAUUCAUCUUUGCAUUCUAACUCCCUUGGGAUGGACCAUAAAUAUAAAAAUGUCCAGAAUUUGAAUUUUCUUAGAUAAAGUAAAUCAUCUUAUCAUGGAUUUUUUUUUCUUGAACCUUUUUCAGUCAUAUGCAGUGCCUUUUUGCACACAUAAUUGAUGACUCUGAAAGAAAGAGAGAAUGUGGUUACUGAAUUUUCUGAUGUGUCAAUGUGGAUCCUACCCAGUAAUGCUGCAACAAGGCUGAAAAUCUUACUUAACUACAUUUAGGAAAGAAACAAACCACACCAGGUAAAAUAAUCUUGUUUUUUUAAAAAAAGAUCAUAUUGCAGAGGCCUUGGCUAGGUUUAUGAUGACAUAGGACCUUGUCUGAACAUGGUGAUUUCAAACUUUGAGCUUAAAAGGACACUCUGAAAUCUAGUCAAUGUGCCUCAGUAGACUUUUCAGAGAACGUUACUCUUGGCAGAAGAUGCUGUCUUGACACGCGGAAACCAAAUAGCUGGAGUUGGCGGGGGCGUACUGCGCUUUGUGCUGGUUCUCCAGGCUUCCCUUGUUUCCUUCUCAUAGAUUUUUGUAAUUAUUUUCUUUUUUCUUCCUUUUUCAUAUGUGCACACACAUAUAUAUAUAUACAUAUAUGUAUAUAUGUGUGUGUGUGUGUGUGUAUACCACACACACUGUUCAAAGCAAAAAUGGAAGCUCAUCUGUGGAUCUCAGAAUGUGACAAGGUGGAAACAAAGACAGAAGCAAGAUUGAAAUAAAGGAAACUACCACAUCUUGGAUCAAACAUUGGAAACCAGUUCUAGAUGUCUAAGUGAUGUCCAGAAAGAGUGUUUAUGGAACAUAUUUUAUGAAAUGCAGUGAGUGUGUUUUACAGAGAUUUGAAACAUGAUGUCAACUUGAAGGUGAUUGGCUGUCAUUCAUGGACAUGAAUGGAGCCUAAGAAAGAUGGACAAGGAUUUCAUCCAGAAACUUAGAAUCUUUUUUGCACAAUAGCUACUGUGUUAUAUAGAUGGCUGUUUUGGAGCUGCUUUUCAUACUGAAACUUCUAACUGGUCCCCUAACUGCCAGCUUCAGAUUCUCUAAUUUAUCUGUUGGCCAGAACAAUCUUUGAGAAAGAUGAUGAAACCACAUCGUGUUCUUCAUAAAUCUGCAAUUGACAUGUUUCAGAAGUUUUAGAAAUAAGCAAUAAUCGGAGAAGAGGACAAAGAUUUCUAUAAACUGAUAAUAUUUUGAGUAUUUUUUGCCUCUGUGAAAGUUGGAAAUUUUCCACUUCUAGUUACUGAACAUUUGGAUUCAUAAAUUUCAAACUCCUUUUCUCUUACCCUUUGGUCCACAAGAAUCUCAAGAUAUUUUGCACAGCAAGAUACAGUGUGCAACUCAGGAUGGAUAUAGGGUAGUUGUGCAAACUUUUUUUUUUUUAACAUAGAUGAGCAGAUUUUUCUGGAGUAUCUGAGCAGUUUUACUUAUGGACUGAUAAGGAAUUCUACACCUCUUGCCAAUUUAAAGCAUCUUUGGCCAGGGCACGUCUGUAUAGACACUUUCUAGAUCUUUAACUCUGUAUUUUUUUUUUCAUUUAUUUUUAUUAGUUGGAGGCUAUUUACUUUACAAUAUUGUAGUGGUUUUUGUCAUACAUUGACAUGAAUCAGCUUGAUUUGCCUGAUCCAACACCAUCAGGACAGCAACUCUCAUUCCAGAUUUCUCUUCAAGAUUCAAGUAUGUGAAGGAUGUCUACUGAAUUGAAAAUUAUUUCAACUGGGUAAAACUUCAAGUAUUGGCUAGUCUGCACAAUCUGAAGUACACGUAAGCUAACCCUAUAGGAAUAUGAGACUAGGAAGGGAAGGACAGUGCUUCUUGAUUUCAGUUAGAAGCUUUACCAUCUACAGAAUUAUAGACAAAAUAAGUUUAAUACUGGCCUGAACUUCAUCUUGGUUCUGAAAUAUUUAUAUUUCAUUAGCAGUCUUUGGAUUGGUGAGGAAGAGUAAUUUCCUUGCUGUGGAUUAUCACAGUUACCAGUGAAACCCCUAUAUAUAUGGCAUUUGUGUACAUUUAUGAUAAACAAAUCUUACUUGGAUUUUAAAGCAACUCUAAAUCUAAUUCCAUUAAUUAAUUUGACAUUUGUAGCUUAUGAAUGUUUUUAAAUACUUAGGAAAAUUGUGUUUGGGUAAUGAUAUUGAGAUAUAAAAUACUUUGAAUGAUGAAUUGUUCAUUGAAUGUUAGGAGAUGAAGAGAAUGAAAUUCAGCAUGUAAGAGCUUAUUGUAUUCUUUCUUUACUUAAUCUUUUGGAAUCUAAUAUUCAAGUACAUAGGUCUACAUUUAUAAUCAUCACUAUAUUAUUUUUAUAUAAGAUAAUGCAGCUUGUUUCCUAAAGUUUCUAAAAAUAUGUGGUAAAAUUGUCUUCUGGAAAAGACUUAGAAAGGGAUUCUGAGGACAUUUUGUAAGCUGUAUAGAAUUCUGUAUUUAUGGCAGGCAAAAAGAGAAAGACACGAAAAUGUCUAAUAUUACUAUAUCAUAAAAGCAAAGGAAGGCACAGUUAUUGUUUAUAUGCAUUUUAAAAAUACUGUGUAUGACAUAACCAAAUAUAAUUGCUUCGUGACAUUUCUCAGUGUGUUGCAAAUAUUAACAGUUUGUUAAUAUAUAUAGAAGAAUUAUUUUUAAUACAUGAUUAUAGAAAUAAGGAUUGUUAGAAUACCUCUGAAUGAUGUAUACAUUUGAAAUCAUUUGAUUGGAUUAUUGCAAUGGCUUUUUGGGGUGAGAGAGAUUGUUCUGUAUUCAACUGUCACCUAAGAAAUUCUGUUAAGGGUGCUCUAUCUGGAUGUCGACAUUAUCCUGUAAAUGGCUUUUGUGUUACAGGUUUUUAUGGUAUGAGAUUGCCUUAUCAUGAUGGAAUUUUUGCACAAGAGAAGAGCCUCUCAACGGUUACAUAAUCAGGGUUGAGUGGGUUUUUUUUUUUUUUUUUUUUUUUUAUAGCUUUCUACAUGAUAGAAAAAGUACUGUGCUUUACCAUCCUAUCAUGCAUAGAGAUGGCUGACAUUUUGGGCAUUUCAGUUACUAGAAUAUCAUGUUGGUUACUGAGGAGUUUCGAGACCACUUUGUGUUAGGCAAAUAAAAGCUUAAUUUAGGAGACAGAGAAUAGGGAGUUUUGGAAGAUUGUGUGUGUAUAUGCAUAGGCAUGAAGAGCUUAAACAGCAUCUAGACUUUGCUCCAUGAUCAGAUGUUGGGAAUCUAAAUAUAUUUGAUAAAUAUUCUAACUGCCCAUCAGCAUUAGUUCAUUUCUGGUAGAAGUUGUUAAACGGUUUGUUAUAAGCGAUGUUAAAUUUUUUGUCUAACUUGUGAUUGUGUAUAUCAUUGUAAAUGCAUAUCAGCCAAAUAGGGUAGAAAUACUUUUGUUUUUGCCAAAAGAAGUGUUCUCUCCAGCCUCUCAGUAUGGUCAUUGGACCGUUAGACACAACUUUUAGGUUGUGAGAAAUACAUGGUGUGGAGUAUCCAAUGUAAAUAUAUCAUUUUAUGACA